rnacentral:misc_RNA from 1 species
UUAAAUAUUAAAAUGUGACUCGUACGCAAUUAUUCAGAGUUUGAUGACCGCCGGGGGCUGCCGAGCGGCCGAGGCGGCAGGGCCGCCCCCGAGGCAACAGGUGACAACUUCAAAAGGGUUGGGCGUCGGGCCCGGAGGCCCGUCACUCUGUAAUGAUCCCUCCGCAGGUUCACCUACGGAGA